GUUCUCUGUGAAGCAAGGAAAACAGGAUCCAAACCGGGGACUUUCCAGCAUAUUGUCUGAAAUGUAUAUUUUGUGUAAUAGCGGACCGGACUAUGUGAGGUGAAUCGGCUUUGAAGGGGAAAGCUGUGUAUGCAGCUCAGCGCUGAAUUCUGCCGCCGGGAGUGACCGUGGCCGCGGACUGUAGUCGAGGAUUCGUUGUUCUGGUGCAGGAGUUGGAUCGCCGACCUCCUUUGUGGUGCAGGGGUUGGAUCGCCGACCUCCUUUGUGGUGCAGGAGUUGGAUCGCCGACCUCCUUUGUGGUGCAGGAGUUGGAUCGCCGACCUUCUUUCUGGUGAAGGAAUUGGAUCGCUGACCUCCUUUGUGGUGCAGGAGUUGGAUCACUGACCGUCUUUCUAGUGAAGGAAUUGGAUUGCCGACCUUCGACAUCAGUGGAUCUUUUUUGAUCCUGACAGGGAGUACAGCUUCUACAGGUGACAUGGGAAUGAUCAAACGUUGUGAACAACGGGAGUAAGAAAAAAGAGUGCAGCAAAUCUGUUAUUUUGACCAAAUAAUUUGUUAUUGAAACAAAAUUUUGGAUGUGUCUUGGAGAUAUUUAAAUAAUAAUAUUGAUAUCUCAGAAAAUAAGUGAUUUGAUUCAGUGUGUCAUUCCUCUGCGUGAAAUCAUUCCUGUCCUACUGCCUAAGACUCAGAAAAUCUUGUAGGUACAUAUAUUGGUCUUUAAAUCUCAAAACAGGACAUCACUGAUGAACUGUGGUGAUCCCAGACUGUGAGAUUUAUUUUUUGCAGUUUUGUUUGGACCUGGUUACAACAACAAGGCAGAAAGCUACUUUUUCUGUUUGUCAUUUAGCAAAUAAGUCACAGCAAGUGUUGCCUCUACCUAAUGUAGGCUAAUAAUAAACCUACACAAACUAAAUAUUCAGUUCUAGUAUACUGAUCAUAUGCUGUACCAGUUCACCAAAUAACAUUGGCUGUGAGGUCAUCGUCGUCAAGUUAUGUCGAUUAAUUGAUUAUUAAUUGAUUAUUAUUAUGGGUAGUCCAGCUUGUUAAGCAGGCAGGCAGUUGGUUAAUUUAGGUAGGGUUGUUAGCGCUGCAUGAGACAGGCUACUUCACAACAGAGACAAAUAAAUGCACCGUGGGGCAACUGAGGUUGAUGAACACUGGAUUCAUUUCCGUGUUACCUGGUUAGUGGCUACAGUCUAUAUGGGCUGUGCAGCUGCUGCCACACGCGUGUCCGCUCCUCGUGUUCACGUUACGAGAUACGGCGUGGGUCGUGUGUGUGCGUGUGCCUCUGUGUGUGCGUUUAAUGUUUAAAUUUUUGUUUAAAAAGUUGAGAUGCGGCAGGCACCUGCUUGAUACUGAGGGCAAGGGGCAGGUGCUCUAGCACCACCUGGUGUCUAUCUGUGCACACCACUGCUGGUCAGGAAACAUCUUUCUACCCACCAGAUGACCAUCACUCAUCCGUUCCAGUGUCGGGAAUCCUCAGACUUCCAGGGACCGUAAAAAUGAGUGAACACUGGAGAAAUGUGACUUGUUCGGCAAGGACAGUUGGAAACCUACUUCUUGAAGCUGGUCUGAAGUCACACAGGACAUGGAAGAAGCCCUUCAUCAAGGAAAGGCAGAGGAAAGCUGGUUACUCUUUGCUGGGAUUGCAAGGAUUGGACUGUUGAUGAUUGGUCUAAGGUUCUCUUCAGGGAUGAAUCCAGUUUUCAGUUGAUGUCCACUCCAGCCAACUUACUGGUUAGGAGGAAGCCUGGAGAAGCUACAAACCAGACUGUCUGCCUCUACAGUAAAACAUGGGGGUGGAUCAGUGACCAUCUCGGGUAGUUUCAGUCUGGGUGGAACAGGGACAAAUGAAGCAGGUCAUGUUUGGGGCUACUGUUGAAAACAGUCUUCUUCCAUCAGCUGGAAAACUCUUUCCUGCCUCCAAUUACUGGAUUUUCCAACAAGACAAGGUCAGUUAAAGCCUGGCUGGAGAACCAGAACACUGGCACCAUGCCUUGGCUGCUCAAUCACCAGAUCUAAAUCCAACUGAAACCCUGUGGAAAAUCAUCAAACGCAAAAUGGAGAACCACAAGCCCAAAAACAAAGAUUAGUUAGAAUGAGUGCAACAGGAAUGGGCUGCUGUGACAGCAGAACAAUGUCAGAAGCUGGUGGAGAACAUCCAAGACGCAUGGCUGCAGUCAUCAGAAACAAUGGUUAUGAAUCAGUACUAACUCCUGUGUGGAUCAUGUGACCAUAACAGACAGAAAAGAAAACAUGGAAUCCUAAAAGCUGUUUUUGACAGCACAAUGCUAUUGAUGGAAGAACUGAAGAGAUUUUGUAUAUUAUCAGGAAAACCAUGGAAAAUGGCUAGAUAUCAGCUCUCAAACUAUUACGAGCUAUUUUUGUUGUCAUCAUUAGAUUUGUCCAAACAAACGUACCUUUAGUUGUUCCAGGCAUUAAAAUGAACAAGAAAUAGAAGAAAACAGGGAUGGACUUAUAUUUUUUUCCAUGACUGUAUAUAACUGGCAGCUCAUGUUCCGUUGACUUCUUGGUGCUCUACUGCUGGUUCACAGCAAGUAGAAAAGAGACAUGAUAACAGUUUGGUUCCAUGGUACAUUAAGUUUUCAUUUAUAGGGUGCUAAAAAACAGAAUUUACAUCAUGAAAUUAAUGCAACCAAAGCAGCCGACAGAUGCAGCCUCCCACUGGCACUGCACACAACACUACACACAAACAUCGAGGACAGCAGCAAAUGAAGUUUAUAAUCACACGUUCUCUCUGCUCUGUGUGACUUAGUUCAUCACUUCACAUUGUUAUUACAUGACACAAAGUCGUUUUUUUUUCUU